UGGGGAAUUUUGGACAAUGGGCGCAAGCCUGAUCCAGCCAUGCCGCGUGCGGGAAGAAGGCCUUCGGGUUGUAAACCGCUUUUGUCAGGGAAGAAACGCUCUGGGCUAAUACCCCGGGGUAAUGACGGUACCUGAAGAAUAAGCACCGGCUAACUACGUGCCAGCAGCCGCGGUAAUACGUAGGGUGCAAGCGUUAAUCGGAAUUACUGGGCGUAAAGCGUGCGCAGGCGGUUAUGCAAGACAGAUGUGAAAUCCCCGGGCUCAACCUGGGGACUGCAUUUGUGACUGUAUAGCUAGAGUACGGUAGAGGGGGAUGGAAUUCCGCGUGUAGCAGUGAAAUGCGUAGAUAUGCGGAGGAACACCGAUGGCGAAGGCAAUCCCCUGGACCUGUACUGACGCUCAUGCACGAAAGCGUGGGGAGCAAACAGGAUUAGAUACCCUCGUAGUCCCUGAGCGGGCUGGCAAGGCGCAU
rnacentral:rRNA from 1 species